rnacentral:rRNA from 1 species
UCCUACGGGAGGCAGCAGUAGGGAAUAUUCCGCAAUGGGCGAAAGCCUGACGGAGCGACGCCGCGUGAGGGAUGAAGGCCUUCGGGUCGUAAACCUCUGUUAAGAGGGACGAUGCCUGCCUUCGGGCGGGUGACGGUACCUUUAGAGAAAGCCCCGGCCAACUACGUGCCAGCAGCCGCGGUAAU